rnacentral:tRNA from 1 species
GAAGUAUUAAGUAAAGACUGAAGCUUCUAACUUUAAUCUAAGCGGUUAAAUUCCGUUUAUACUUCU